rnacentral:rRNA from 1 species
UACAUGGGGUGCAAACGUUGCUCGGAAUUAUUGGGCGUAAAGCGCGCGUAGGCGGUUACUUAAGUCGGAUGUGAAAGCCCUCGGCUUAACUGAGGAAGUGCAUCCGAAACUGAGUAGCUAGAGUACGAAAGAGGGUCGCGGAAUUCCCGGUGUAGAGGUGAAAUUCGUAGAUAUCGGGAGGAACACCGGUGGCGAAGGCGGCGACCUGGGUCGAGACUGACGCUGAGGCGCGAAAGCGUGGGGAACAAACAGG